GAUGGCGACCGGCGCACGGGUGAGUAACACGUAUCCAACCUGCCGAUGACUCGGGGAUAGCCUUUCGAAAGAAAGAUUAAUACCCGAUGGCAUAGUUCUUCCGCAUGGUGGAACUAUUAAAGAAUUUCGGUCAUCGAUGGGGAUGCGUUCCAUUAGGUUGUUGGCGGGUAACGGCCCACCAAGCCUUCGAUGGAUAGGGGUCCUGAGAGGAAGGUCCCCCACAUUGGAACUGAGACACGGUCCAAACUCCUACGGGAGGCAGCAUG
rnacentral:rRNA from 1 species